UCCGGUUUGUCACCGGCAGUCUCCUUAGAGUUCCCGACUUUACUCGCUGGCAACUAAGGACAGGGGUUGCGCUCGUUACGGGACUUAACCCAACAUCUCACAACACGAGCUGACGACAGCCAUGCAGCACCUGUCUCUCGGUUCCCGAAGGCACUCCCAUAUCUCUAUGAGAUUCCGAGGAUGUCAAGGGUAGGUAAGGUUCUUCGCGUUGCAUCGAAUUAAACCACAUGCUCCACCGCUUGUGCGGGCCCCCGUCAAUUCCUUUGAGUUUUAAUCUUGCGACCGUACUCCCCAGGCGGAAGACUUAUCGCGUUUGCUUCGAUACCGACAGGUUUUAUCCCACCAACAUCUAGUCUUCAUCGUUUAUAGCAUGGACUAC
rnacentral:misc_RNA from 1 species